UAGGGAAUAUUAGUCAUGGGCGAAAGCCUGAACUAGCAACGCCGCGUGUGCGAAGAAGGCCUUCGGGUUGUAAAGCACUUUUUGAGAGGAUGAGGAAGGACGGUACUCUCAGAAUAAGUCUCGGCUAACUACGUGCCAGCAGCCGCGGUAACACGUAGGAGGCGAACGUUAUCCGGAUUUACUGGGCGUAAAGCGCGUGUAGGUGGUUUGGUAAGUAGGGCGUGAAAGCUCCUGGCUCAACUGGGAGAGGCCGUUCUAAACUGCCGAACUAGAGGAUGGUAGAGGGAGGUGGAAUUCCGGGUGUAGCGGUGGAAUGCGCAGAUAUCCGGAGGGACACCAGUGGCGCAAGCGGCCUCCUGGACCAUUCCUGACACUCAGACGCGAAAGCUAGGGUAGCACACGG
rnacentral:rRNA from 1 species